UACAGAGGGUGCGAGCGUUAAUCGGAAUUACUGGGCGUAAAGCGAACGUAGGUGGUUUUGCAAGUCGAGUGUGAAAGCCCCGGGCUCAACCUGGGAACUGCAUUCGAGACUGCAUUACUCGAGUAUGGGAGAGGGCAGCGGAAUUUCAGGUGUAGCGGUGAAAUGCGUAGAUAUCUGAAGGAACAUCAGUGGCGAAAGCGGCUGCCUGGCCCAAUACUGACACUCAAGUUCGAAAGCGUGGGGAGCAAACAGG
rnacentral:rRNA from 1 species